GAUGAACGCUGACAGAAUGCUUAACACAUGCAAGUCAACUUGAACUUCGGUUUGGGUGGCGGACGGGUGAGUAACGCGUAAAGAACUUGCCUCACAGAUAGGGACAACAUUUGGAAACGAAUGCUAAUACCUGAUAUCAUGAUUAUAUGGCAUCGUAUAAUUAUGAAAGCUAUAUGCGCUGUGAGAGAGCUUUGCGUCCCAUUAGCUAGUUGGAGAGGUAACGGCUCACCAAGGCGAUGAUGGGUAGCCGGCCUGAGAGGGUGAUCGGCCACAAGGGGACUGAGACACGGCCCUUACUCCUACGGGAGGCAGCAGUGGGGAAUAUUGGACAAUGGACCAAGAGUCUGAUCCAGCAAUUCUGUGUGCACGAUGAAGUUUUUCGGAAUGUAAAGUGCUUUCAGUUGGGAAGAAGAAAAUGACGGUACCAACAGAAGAAGUGACGGCUAAAUACGUG
rnacentral:rRNA from 1 species